rnacentral:rRNA from 1 species
CCGGCGCACGGGUGAGUAACGCGUAUGCAACUUGCCUAUCAGAGGGGGAUAACCCGGCGAAAGUCGGACUAAUACCGCAUGAAGCAGGGAUCCCGCAUGGGAAUAUUUGCUAAAGAUUCAUCGCUGAUAGAUAGGCAUGCGUUCCAUUGGGCAGUUGGCGGGGUAACGGCCCACCAAACCGACGAUGGAUAGGGGUUCUGAGAGGAAGGUCCCCCACAUUGGUACUGAGACACGGACCAA